rnacentral:rRNA from 1 species
UACGGAGGGUGCAAGCGUUGUUCGGAUUUACUGGGCGUAAAGCGCGCGCAGGUGGGUGAACAAGUCGGAAGUGAAAUCUUGAGGCUCAACCUCGAGGCUGCUCCCGAAACUGUUCGCCUAGGGACUGGUAGAGGCUGGUAGAAUUCCCGGUGUAGCGGUGAAAUGCGCAGAUAUCGGGAGGAACACCAAUGGCGAAGGCAGCUCGCUGGGACGUUACUGACGCUGAGACGCGAAAGCGUGGGGAGCAAACAGG